UGGGGAAUAUUUGACAAUGGGGGAAACCCUGAUCGAGCGAUGCCGCGUGAGUGAUGAAGGCCUUCGGGUUGUAAAGCUCUUUAGCCGAUGAAGAUAAUGACGGUAAUCGGAGAAUAAGCACCGGCAAACUUCGUGCCAGCAGCCGCGGUAAUACGAAGGGUGCUAGCGUUGUUCGGAAUUACUGGGCGUAAAGAGUACGUAGGUGGUUUAUUAAGUUAGAUGUGAAAGCCCAGGGCUUAACCCUGGAAUAGCAUUUAAAACUGGUAGGCUAGAGUAUUGGAUAGGAUAGUGGAAUUCCGAGUGUAGAGGUGGAAUUCGUAGAUAUUCGGAGGAACACCAGAGGCGUAAGCGACUAUCUGGACAAUUACUGACACUGAGGUACGAAAGCGUGGGGAUCAAA
rnacentral:rRNA from 1 species